AUUGUCAUGUUCGAGCCCAUGCCCCGAGAACGUAAUUGUGUGAGGAUAUUGUUGCGGAGUGACGAGUGUAAUUGUAUCAUAGUUUAUGGAGAAAAACAAUUUAAAAGGGACGUUCAACGCGCUGUCAAAUCAGUCAUAUUUAAACUUGCGCAACGACGUCGGCAUGUGGUCGCGGAGGAAAACGAUCAAAGAGAAAUUAAGGUCCUCACAUGGCGCGAAACCAACUUUUUCCAUGUCAAACUUGGACAUUGGCUGUCCAUGACACACAUGACAACAUCAUCUUCUAGUGGCGUGGAGCUCCACUCCACAGAAAAUACUGUAAUAAAGGAACUGGAAGAAGAGCCCUUUCGCUUUGUGGCCUUUAAAAUCAAAGGUGAACAGGUGGAGUUUGUGGACGCCACCAAUGCCACCAGAAUGGUUCCAUUAGAGGAGUGGAACCGAAAAUUCCCCGAUGGCCCUAAUCUUCCCCUAGAGGGGUUUUUGUGAGACUACCCUCAGAGGCCGGCCUCAGAGGCCGGCCUCUUUGACCUGCGACCAGAGAUGCUGGCGUGGCUCCACGACACCAAGUUGGAACUCUGACGUUACACGUGAGAGAGAGAGAGAGCGAGAGAGAGAGAGAGAGGCAACGUCAGGUGACCCAGUUUAUUAUUUUGUUUAUAGCAAAUACAGUCGCAAAUAUAUUGUUUCAAUGUGUAGUUAAUGGUAUUAAUGUAUUGUAUAGUAUAUGAUUUUAAUCUAUUUUAAUCUAUAGUAAUGGUAUUUUACCCAUGUCUUACUUUGGGAUAUUUGUAACUUCUGCUGUCUUUAUUUUAGUAUUCUGGAAUACUAUGGUUUAUUUUGAAAAUGUUGCUCAGAUGUCGCAUGUAUUCCCAUUCUAGAUUGAUAGAUAGAAUUUACGGUAGCGUUCUUUGGCCCGCUGUCCAAAGAACAUAGAAAACAAUACGGAAUGCGAUCAUCUCAUGUGCGGUGGCACCACAAAGUAGAUUGCAGAAGUUAACUCAGCAGCAUGGACGCGUUCCAGGCAGUUACUGCGACCGCAAGGGGGUAAGUAUUACUAAAAAGAAGCACACAAGUUUCAAACUUGCCGAGUGGACAGUGAAGCAGAAAAUAGAUUUGUCAAAAAGUGUGAGGAAAAUAUGCACUGUCUGCCGACUCACAUUUUCCAUAGUCCAUGUGGAACUGACUCACCUUAAGCAACACGGUGGACACGAACGAAAAAACGCACAACUAAGCAAGGGGGAACCUGGACAGAUCCAUCAGGCAACGACAAAGAUGGUACGUAAAUAUUUUUUUAAACCCUCUCAAGGUUAAUAUGAGAAUGUACAAUGGAUGUCUAUCGUAUAGAAAAAGCUAUAUUUGCUUUUGGGUGUAAUAAACGACCAGGUAAAUGGAUAGAUAAUACAUAAAAACCAUUCGUUUGCAUACAUUGAUAAAUAAAAGAUCAACAUUAUGUGGCACUUGCCUCCCCAGAACUUUUGGUUUAUAGGAAGGUUUGUUUUCUAUUUAGAGGAAGAAACGCAUGCGCCCAAGUGCAAUAUGUAUUUUUGCCAGUAGAGGGCGCUGAAACUAAAUAUGUUGCAUAGCGGAUGAGCUGUCUUAAUCAUUUCUGUCUGUAACAAUUGCACACACAGCCUUACAUUUGUAACAAGUUUCAAGAGAUGUGCAUACUUUUUCAUUAGACAUGCAAUGUAAUUCUGUCAACUUUUAAAUAAACUAUGUUAUUUUACUUUUAAUGUGGAUAGAGGAUUUAUUUUUGGUGUUUUUGAUUUUACUGCAGAUUAUCCAGACAUCCCCAACGUCAAAGCAGCAGUAUCUUUGGCCUCAGCAUCCUUAUUUUCCAAUGGGAUUUGUGGACAGGAAUGUCUUUUUCGACAUGUUCCAACUUUAAACUGUUCAUCUCAUGCUUAAUAACUGUCGCUCAGCACUGACACCUGGUGGACGUUAUGUUGUCAUGCAGAUGUUAUUAUGCCUAAUAAGAACAGAUUCAGAUUUGAUUCUUAGUAGUUACCUUGCUGACUGUUUCUUGUUGACUAAUACUUCUUGCGUAUGUACUGUUUUUACUCGCUUAUUGGUUUUCUUGCUUACUGCUUUUUCUAAAAUGUACAUAUUCA